GCCUAAAGCGUCCGUAGCCGGCUAUGUUAGUUUUCGGUUAAAUCCAUGUGCUCAACACAUGGGCUGCCGAAAAUACUGUAUAGCUAGGGAGUGGGAGAGGUAGACGGUACUCGGUAGGAAGGGGUAAAAUCCUUUGAUCUAUCGAUGACCACCAGUGGCGAAGGCGGUCUACCAGAACACGUCCGACGGUGAGGGAUGAAAGCUGGGGGAGCAAACCGGAUUAGAUACCCGGGUAGUCCCAGCUGUAAACUAUGCAAACUCAGUGAUGCAUUGGCUUGUGACCAAUGCAGUGCCGCAGAGAAGUCGUUAAGUUUGCCGCCUGGGAAGUACGUACGCAAGUAUGAAACUUAAAGGAAUUGGCGGGGGAGCACCACAAGGGGUGAAGCCUGCGGUUCAAUUGGAGUCAACGCCAGAAAUCUUACCCGGAGAGACAGCAGAAUGAAGGUCAAGCUGAAGACUUUACCAGACAAGCUGAGAAGUGGUGCAUGGCCGUCGCCAGCUCGUGCCGUGAGAUGUCCUGUUAAGUCAGGUAACGAGCGAGAUCCCUGCCUCUAGUUGCCACCAUUACUCUCAGGAGUAGUGGGGCGAAUUAGCGGGACUGCCGCAGUUAAUGCGGAGGAAGGAGGGGGCCACGGCAGGUCAGUAUGCCCCGAA
rnacentral:rRNA from 1 species